UCUUUGGUGGUCUAGUGGUCAUGAUUUCCGCUUGUCAUCAACUUAGUAAAUGAUUACGUACGCGGGAGACCGGGGUUCGAUUCCCCGCCAGAGAG